rnacentral:misc_RNA from 1 species
ACCCCAGAAAACGAAUUACAGCCCAUGAAGUUCUUUGUAAGUUAUAAUACAUCAUCAAUAUGUUUGUUUCCUUUCUCUUCUUAUCCUCCAUAAUUUGUUCGUUCUUUCUCAUAAUUCUUUCAAUAAGACUUGUGGGAUUACUCAACUUCGUAAGAAUUAUGGUAGGUCAAGUCUCUUGACAAUCGGUGGCAUGAGUUCAUAUAUAAAUAUGCUUUGGUGUUCUUUGUUGAAUUG